GUGACCUUCACACUCACCACUUUGAUUCCAACAGCGAAGUCGAAGUCGUGGUCAGGAGUAAGACUGAGCUGGGUAGAGAUAGUAAGGGGCAUGAGAGAUGGAGAAAGAAAGCCUCAGCUACCAUGAGACUUUGUUCAGUGCUAUGAUCUGAAUGUGUUUCUGCCAAAUUCCUAUGCUGAAAUCCUAACUCCCAAGAAGAUGGUACUACAAGAUGAUUGGAAGGUGAUUAGGUCAUGAAGGCUCUGCCCUUAUGGGAUUAGUGCCCUCAUAAAAGGGGCACCAGAGAGCUAACUGCCUUACCCUUUCUCCAUGUGAGGACGGAAUGAGAGGGCGCCCUCAUCCAAACACUGAAUCUGCUGGUGCCUUGAUUUUGGACUCUACAGCCUUCAGAACUGUGAUAAAUAAAUUUCUGUUUUUUAUAAAUGACUCCAUCUAUAGUAUUUUGUUAUAGCAGCUUGAAAGGACAAAGACGUUCAGUUUAAAUCAUGAAUACAGACCCAUUUGUACCAAAAAUUAACACAGCAACAAACCUUUACUGAACACCUAUGAUGGGCCAGCUUUUGGGGACAUAGCAGUUAAUAAAAUAGAAAACCCCCCAACCCCUAUGGAGCUUACAUUCUACCAGGCAGAUUCAGUGUAUUAAUCUCUAAUGUGCCAGUUCACUAUCUCCUUCCAUCUGAGUCUUAAAAGUAUUUUUUUUUUCUUUGAGACUGAGUCUCCCUCUAUUGCCCAGGCUAGAGUGCAGUGGUGCAAUCUCAGCUCACUGCAACCUCUCCGCCUCUCAGGUUCAAGCAAUUCUCAUGCCUCAGCCUCCCGAGUAGCUGGGAUUACAAGCACCCGCCACCAUGCCCAGCUAAUUUUUGUAUUUUUAGCACAGACGGGGUUUCACCAUGUUGGCCAGGCUGGUUUCAAACUCCUGACCUCCAGUGAUCCGCUUACCUCAGCCUCCCAAAGUGCUGAGAUUACAGGCAUGAGCCACUGUGCCCAGCCUUAAAGUACUUUUUUGGAUGUUGACUUUUCUUUCUUAGGUGAUAUAAUGUAGUAGUAGUAAUCUCAAUUUGUGGGUGGAAAUAAAACACUUAGAUCAUUCUGGUUUAUGCAGAAUCUCAAAUUUACCCACAGCCAACCUGCCUCCUCUUUUGGAAAACAGGAGAAAAAAAUCCGAGAAAGGGAACGCUGAUUGAAAUAAACAAAGAGGGCCGGGCGCGGUGGCUCACGCCUGUAAUCCCAGCACUU
rnacentral:lncRNA from 1 species